ensembl:lncRNA
AGAAGAGACCCCAGAAAGUUCCCUCACUCCUUCCAUGUGAGGACACAGUAAGAUGGCUGACUAUGAAUUGGGAAGCAGGCUUUCACCAGAAACCAAACCUGCUGGUGCCUUGAUCUUAGAUGUCCAGCCUCUAGAAUGGGGAAAGUAUGGCAACCUGAAAGGCCAAACAUCAGGCCUUGGGGAGAGUUAAGAACGUGCAAAACAGGUUUUGUGGAACAUGGCAUCGGUUGUUGGCCCACCUGGCUACUGAAGAAAUUUGCAAACCUAAUGAAAAUAUGAAACAACCCCAGUUCCAGGCCAGCCCCCACAUUGGCUGUCCAUCCCUGUGAGGUUGCAUUCUCCCAAGCAUUUGUCGAGCUGUCCAAGAGCCCUACAACACUCUCCAGUGGGGAAGCAGGCAAAUUUGGACACAGCAGAUGUCUGCUCCUGAAGACAGCUGGAAAUAACCACGUCUGAUAGAAUCAGCCAUGAGAGCGGGGCAGCACUGUUGUGUGUAAACAGCGUGUUAUCUCUGAGACUCUUAGACAGUGACACAAGCAGCCCCAGGCUCAACCUGUCCUCGAAACAGCAGUGAAGACACUUCACAUCUAGUCUUGUCCACAUAGAAUGAGAAUCACAGGCUUUUAGGACUGAAAGCCCCUUGGAGAUCAUGUCACAAGCCUCUCGUUUUGCAGAUUAACACCGAAAACAAAACCUAUAGACAAGGGGAUAUGUGGAGAAGUGUGAUAUUUAUAAUUGUCACAUAUGCAUGCCAGGAUCCCUAUGUAUUAUUUUAUUGGGCUUAAGCUAGUACAUUUGUUUCCUUCCAAAGAGUUAACUCUGCAUAUCGACAAAAUUUCAUACAAUUUAGCCUUAGAUAUAAAAGUAAAUAUUUAGGUCCACCCUCAAUCCCAGGAGACCCUCAGGACAAGUGACAUCACUAAUUAUGUGGUUACUCCAUGCCAGCCUUUGUCUGGGACCAGGCACUGAAGAUACAAAGACAAAAAAACAUCUAAAGAUGUUUAUAGUCCAGUGUGAGAAAACAAUAUAUGAUCAAAUAACUAAGAAACAUUACAGAAGUGCAAUAUGGGAGAUGUAUGCAAAGUGCGAUAUGAGCAUAUGAAAAAGAAGCUACUUAAUAGAUUAGCCCUGAGCUAACUACUGCCAAUUCUCCUCUUUUUGCUGAGGAAGCCCGGCACUGAGCUAACAUCCAUGCCCAUCUUUCUCUACUUUAUACGUGGGAUGCCUACCCCAGCAUGGCUUUUGCCAAGUGGUGCCAUGUCCGCAUCCGGGAUCUGAACUGGUGAACCCUGGGCCACCGAGAAGCAGAAUGUGGAAACUCAACCGCUGGGCCACUGGGCCGGCCCCUGAUCACAUUUUAUGAACAGUGCCUGGGAGGCACGGUAAAAGUAUGCUGAAAGUGACCUUCAGUUUACUCAUAUCAUCUUGACACGAGUGAGCCAGGCUCCACACUUGUAAUUUUCAUUAUUAGCAACAAGAAGAGGAGCCUCUCUCAGUAGGAAAUACACAUCAUCCAAAAAGAUAUGGGUAUUUUAUAUAUCAUGUGUCUGAUCGCUUAAGAAAGGCUGCAGGGGUAGAGAAUCAAUAGAGAAGGUGAUAUGUGAAGGAGAGAAAAUUAUAGCUGAAAAUGCCACCACACAGAGGGGGAAGUGAUAUACCCAAGGUUAGUAGCAAAACUUCUCGUUAGGGGCACAAUCGCAACUAGAACCCAGCGGUCCUGCCUUCCCUGAUUCCCUCCUGCCUGGGUCUAGAGAAAAGCAAGUGAGUUUCCUUUUUCAAAUGGGACGAGAUAAAGUGGUUUGGCACUGCCUAGCCACAUGUCAGCAUGUCAUAUUGUUUCUUUACCUCUGCCCUAUUCAUAUUUUUGUCUCAACUGAAGCAGAAGGCUCUACUUGUAAGGACACAAAGUGGCUCCAUGUCAACUUUCCCCCUGUGAAUUAUGUUUAUGAGCAUACCAACCAAGGGCAUAUCUAAAACACAUGAUUGCUUUUGGCAUCUAACCAAUUCUUCUCUUUCCCCCCCCAUUUUAUGGAUAAAAAAGACUUUUUCCGGUCAUUCUUCUCAGAUGGGGUCCUUGAAACUUCUGUAAUGUAUAAUGUUAAUACAUCAACUGGCAAAGAAGAAAAAUAAGUAGCCUGAUGAAAAUAGGCAUCCAGGAGUUCAGGCUCCUGAAAUCUAC